rnacentral:lncRNA from 1 species
GAACUCUGAAGUUAAGCGAAUUGGGGCUAGAGCAAUCCCAGGAUGGGUGACCCACUGGGAAGUUGCUCAUGAGUUCUCAGAAACAAAACCGUGAGGGCAGAGAGGGAGGGCCCAAAGAGGACAAUAUGGUGCUACGGCGGAGUUGAUCCCGAAAUGUGACAUGAUCAGAUGUGGGAGAUCAAAGAGGCAGGUGUCUCGUUUUCCUUGUCUUCAUCCUUGCCACACCAGCACACGGGGGAAAACUAGAGGCUGAAAUGUGUCAUAACCUAAGUGAAACAACUUCAAAAACUUAUUUGAGGUCCGAAAAAUGCUAUGAGCUCAACAUCACCUCUAUUAUUCUUAUGUAACAAUCUCUCCUCCAAAAUCAAUCAGAAUAUUUUUCCAAAAAU